rnacentral:rRNA from 1 species
CAGUCGCCGCGGUAAUACGUAGGUGGCAAGCGUUGUCCGGAUUUAUUGGGCGUAAAGCGAGCGCAGGCGGUCAAUUAAGUCUGAUGUGAAAGCCCCCGGCUCAACCGGGGAGGGUCAUUGGAAACUGGGAAACUUGAGUGCAGAAGAGGAGAGUGGAAUUCCACGUGUAGCGGUGAAAUGCGUAGAGAUGUGAAAGAACACCAACGGCGAAAGCACUCUGCUGGGCCGACACUGACACUGAGAGAUGAAAGCUAGGGGAGCAAAUGGGAUUAGAUACCCGCGUAGUCCCUGUCUCUUAUAA